AUUGAACGCUGGCGGCAUGCCUUACACAUGCAAGUCGAACGGCAGCACGGGAGCAAUCCUGGUGGCGAGUGGCGAACGGGUGAGUAAUAUAUCGGAACGUGCCCGGUCGUGGGGAUAACGUAGCGAAAGCUACGCUAAUACCGCAUACGAUCUACGGAUGAAAGCGGGGGAUCGCAAGACCUCGCGCGAUUGGAGCGGCCGAUAUCAGAUUAGGUAGUUGGUGAGGUAAAGGCUCACCAAGCCGACGAGUCUGUAGCUGGUCUGAGAGGACGACCAGCCACACUGGGACUGAGACACGGACCAGACUCCUACGGGAGGCAGCAGUGGGGAAUUUU
rnacentral:rRNA from 1 species